GCNNAUGCUAGUCUCGGAGAUUAAGCCAUGCAUGCGCGCGAAGAAGGGAGCGGCGAACGGCUCAGUAAUGCUGCGAUGAUCUGCUCUGUGCGGAAGAUAACCACGGGACACUGUGGCUAAGGCACAGAUUGAGACGCAGUCCUAUCAGCUAGUUGGCAGUGUAACGGACUGCCAAGGCAACGACGGGUGCCGGGAGAUAAGGGUCUUAUACCGGAGAGGGAGCCUGAGAGAUGGCUCCCACGUCCAAGGACGGCAGCAGGCGCGAAAAUUGCCCACUCUCAGAAGAGGAGGCAGUAACGAGGCAUAGACGGAACGGGUGCAAAAAGCCCGAAGACCGACUGGAGGGCAAGUUCG
rnacentral:rRNA from 1 species